rnacentral:pre_miRNA from 1 species
UGGAGGACUGCAGGGAAUGACAGCAAUGGAGGACUGCAGGGCCUCCAUUGCUGUCAUUCCCUGCAGUCCUCCAU